rnacentral:rRNA from 1 species
UACGUAGGUGACAAGCGUUGUCCGGAUUUACUGGGCGUAAAGAGCGCGCAGGCGGUCGAUCAAGUCUAGUGUGAAAGCCCCCGGCUCAACUGGGGAGGGUCAUUCGAUACUGAUCGACUCGAAGGCAGGAGAGGGUAGUGGAAUUCCCGGUGUAGUGGUGAAAUGCGUAGAUAUCGGGAGGAACACCAGUGGCGAAGGCGACUACCUGGCCUGUUCUUGACGCUGAGGCGCGAAAGCUAGGGGAGCAAACGGG